CCAAGGCUUUCUCCGAGGGCCCUCUUCGGCGUCUCCAGUUUGCGCCGAGGAUCAAAGCAGAACCUGGACCUGAACCAGUUCCCCGAGGUACAGAAUGCCUCCUGAGUCGGGCACUGUUCUAGGGCUGCAGACGUGAAGCCAGGCGAAAGGCUCUGCCCUCCUGAAGCCUGCCUCAAAUUAGUUGUCAAGCAAGUGCCAGGGCAGAAAGCACAAAGAGCGCCCACCUCCUGUCCAAGAGCCGAGGCGAACGACAGGACCCGAUUUCUGUUUGAAGACGGUCAUCACCGUGUACACCCACGUUCAGCAUUCUCAGCCCUGAAGGGGGAAGAAAUGUCCCAUCCCUCGGAAUCUGUGUGGUCUGGUACACGAAUCGACUGUCACCUAGUCUGUGAAGUAUAGUAGCCUAUUUUCAUUUUACAUCCUGCAGAGCUGUUAUCACAUUACUACCUUUUUGAUUGAAAUGUCCACAAUGAAGUACUCUACAAUGGAGUUUCUACAAAUGACGGCUAGAUUAAUUAAUGACAACUCUGUGCAUAACUGUUAAUACAAUCCCCAUUUUAAAGAUGAGAAACUGAGCCCCAGGAAGGCUUUGUAACUUGACCAGAGUCACAUGUUUGUGAGUAGCAAAACCAAGCAGGACCCUGCGGGGCUCCUGGUCUCGGAAGCCUUUCGGUCCCCCAUUUCUUGUUUGUAGGCAGCAGGCGCCAGCGUCCAUGGGCUUCCCAUGGAGGUUCAAACAGCUGCUCAUCAGGGAAGGGAGGGGAUGCAGAGACAAGGGAAGAGCAGUCCGGAAACAGUGGUGCAGCCUUGGGGCAGGGUCCCGGUUCCCCCUCCAGGGGUGCACAGAACAAUGUCUUUGAGUUGUUUACAGAACUAAAACCCCCAUCAAAUGGAAGACGAAGCAUUCUUCAUUCCGGAAGACAGGAAGCACAGAAGCUCAUCAGGAGACCUCCUGAGGCCAGAUGAAAGGAGCACAGGCCCUGCUCACACCCUGAUCCUUAUCGGCAACCCCGCCCUGGAACCAUUGCUACAGAACUCCUCACCAAAUCCUCCCGGUUGGGACACACAGUUUUCAAAGGCAGGAGCCUGCUGUGUCCCCCUUUGCCUGGAAAAGUAAUAAAGCUCUUCUUUUCUACUUCACCCAGCUGUGUCUCUGAGAUUCCAUUCAGCACCGGUGCACAGAGGCGGAGUUUUCUGCAUCAGUAUUGAAGCCAGAAUUGGAAUGCGGGUACUUGGUUCCGGUGCUGGCACUUUAAACCAUCACGUUUUCAUUCCUCCACGAGUGUCUCCAAAAAGACAUCUCAGACUUAUGAAAUGUACAUUUAUUUUAAGCACUUGGUGUUUAUUUUAUGACUCUACACCGUUUUAGUCAUAAAUAUGUAACUUAAAAAUUCUACUGCCAACAACAAACAUACAUCAUUUUGAUUCUGGUCUCACAUCAAAAGGACUGCCCCAAGCCUACAGGAACCAGGCACUCAGUCAAUGAAACCAUCACGGUGUCUUAGACGGAAUACCCUUUCUAGUGGCUAUAGAAAUGUGAAAUGAAUCUCCUGAAACCAUCCAAAGGGAAAAGGGUCUGUUGCCCUGAUUCUUAGCAAGAAGACUUUGCCAUAAAAUCGCCUUUUCUGUGUUCCUGGGUCUGACGACCUGUGAUGAAGGAAAAGCAUGAUUUGUAUUCACAUCAGUUUCUGAAGGACAGAAGUAGGAAAAAGCAAAGGCAGUGAGGUGACUAACUUGUUUCUGGGGAAAGGUGAACGUUCUAAGUAGGAGCCAGAGUUUCUGUGACCGCUAACCUUGAGAUCAUCAUGGACUUGACCAAGACGGCAAUCUGUCGGGAGCUUCGAUGCAUGCAUGCUGCUGGACCCAAGAAGCUACAAGGUAAAUAAAAGGCAUGAUUGCUGCCCUCAGUGAGUUGCCCCUGAUUUGGGGCAUCCAGUCAUCUUCAUGUGUGUGUGUUUCCACCCGUGAUGUGACCUGUCCUCUUGCAUCAUCUACAGUCUGCAGAAAGCCCUGCAGACUGCACUCUGCCCAGUCCACUCUUAAUGUUCCUGAAAGCUGUCCUCAGGUUACCAGCUUCCUCUGUUUAAACACAAAGCUGAUCACAGCCUGAGCCCUGCUCUAAAAGUCUGGGCCUCCCCCUUACCUGCAGGAGAAAAAGAAAUUCUCCUUGGGCGUGAUCUGCUCUUCCUUACCCACCGGGUCUCACACUUCCGAUGCACCACAGCUCCUGUGUUCACACUUGCUGGUCUUUGCUUCUUUUCUUAUGCUCACUCCACAGUUAUAGAUAGCUCAAUCUGGGACUUCUUCUAUUCUGUUUUACAUUUCUUAUCAGCUACUUUUUCCCAGUACUUAACAUACUGCACUUAUCAAAUAAUAAUCGCUAACUCUACCAUGUGCCCGGCACCAUUCUAAAGAUUUCAUGUAUACUCACAUCUUCAUUCUCACUGCAAACAUACAAGAUGGGUGUAUUAUUGUUUAAUUUAUUUUAUUGAAGUAUAGUUGACUUAUACAAUGUUCUGUGAGUUUCUGCUGUACAGCA